AUUGAACGCUGGCGGCAUGCCUUACACAUGCAAGUCGAGCGCGAAAGGGGGCAACCCCGAGUAGAGCGGCGGACGGGUGAGUAACACAUCGGAACGUGCCCAGUAGUGGGGGACAACCUCGAGAAAUCGAGGCUAAUACCGCAUACGACCCACGGGUGAAAGCGGGGGACCGCAAGGCCUCGCGCUAUUGGAGCGGCCGAUGUCCGAUUAGCUAGUUGGCGGGGUAAGAGCCCACCAAGGCGACGAUCGGUAGCUGGUCUGAGAGGACGACCAGCCACACUGGAACUGAGACACGGUCCAGACUCCUACGGGAGGCAGCAGUGGGGAAUUUUGGACAAUGGGCGCAAGCCUGAUCCAGCCAUGCCGCGUGAGUGAAGAAGGCCUCGGUUGUAAG
rnacentral:rRNA from 1 species